rnacentral:lncRNA from 1 species
AUUUAUUUACUUAUUAAAAAUGUCUUAAUGGCCAAAAUAAUUUACAUUUAGAAUCAGCUGAACUUAGUUUAAAUGAUCCCAGUUUUACUGACUACAUUCAAAGCAUCAUAGUCAGGAUCCAGUUGAAUUUAUGCUGUGUUCUCUCCAUCAGACUUGAUCAGGGUGUUGACCUUGGUGACUCUAGUGUCAUAGAGCCUCCCAGCCUGUUUGAUCUGGUGCUUAUUGCCUUGCUGUCCACAGUGAACUUAAUGAAUCUUCCAAUCUGAAAAAGUCUUCCAAGAAAAUUUCAGUUUUAAAAAUAAGUAAUGUCACCCAUUUUCCUAAAAGAUUGAAAUGGGAGCUAUCAUUUUGAGGUGAGUACCCAAUUUUACAUUUUUAAUCUCUUACAUUAGUUUUCUAGAAGUUAAAUAUGGAAGGAAAAUGUGAAUAUUGGUUAGAUUCUGAAUGUUUUAGUAAAUCUCUGAGGUGUUGGAAAUCCUAGGAUUUGCUUUAAGACAGUCUGAUAUUUAGGGUUAUGUAACACAGAGUUAAGAACAGAGCUUCAUGAAGGAAAAAGGGCAGGGGUCGAAAGUAGUAGUGGAAAACUUUUUAAGGAGGUUAACUGACAACUGAAGAAGCUUUUGGUUUCUUGAGACAGGGUCUUACUAUGUUGUGUUUGGUGGUGCUGGGGAUCGAACCCAGGACACUAUGCAAGCUAGACAAGUGUUCUACCACUGAUCUGUAUCACCAGCCUGGGUGGGGUGCGGUGGGGCUCACUGUGUAACCCAGGGUAGUCUCGAACUUGAGGUCUUCCUGCCUUAGCCUCCUAACGCUGGGGUUCCAGGAGUACACCACCAUGCCUGGCUAAGAGAUUCAUUUUGGAUUUGGCAGUUAGGUCAUGGAUGAUCCCAGCAGGAUCAAGUUCAAGGGAGAUGUUUAUGACUGAACUGAGUGAAGAGUAGACAGAGGUGAUAAAGUCUGAGUAUUUCAGCUCUUAAUUCAUUUACUAAACCACCAUGUAGGUACUUAGGGUGCAGCAUCACCUCCCUGAGCACUGGAGUUGUGGUUACAGUGACUGUAUUUUGGUUCAGACGUCAUACAGGUCUGUUAAUGCCCAGCUGUUUUCCAAGCCCAUUUUUAUUCUCAGUUCCAUUGGUUUAGAUAGUAAAAAUAACAUGGACUACUUAUAUUGUUAAUAAAACAUGCAUGUUCUGCCA